UUUUUCCAUUUUAAUAAAAUAAUAAAAAAAAUUCCCCAUAUACACCUCUCUGGUUUUCUCUUUCGAAUGUCGAAUCUGAAUGCCACCAACUUUUUUUAAUUUUUACCACUCAAUUUCCACAUCACUAUCCUCUGCCCUGCCGCUUUCUCUGCCAGUCACCGCUCUCUAUUCCCUCCCUCCAAAAAUCUCUGCUUUGUUCUUCUCUCUCAACGACGGAAAAUUAACCCAGAAACGCAAAUACCCACUUCCACUUUUUCCCUUCAUUUGAUAUCUACUCUGGUCUCCUCUUUCUUCCUUCUUCACACAGAAUUCAGAAGAAUUUCCUUUCUUGUUUUCUCCUUUGAAAAAAAAAAUUCAAUACAAUGAAGAAACGCCAUCUGGGUCUUGCUGUUCCUUUUUUCUUAGUAUGUCUUUUCUCCUUCGCACGCUCUCAACAAAGCGGUGAUACUGCUGUGAUGCUUAAACUCAGAGAGAGCCUUGGUAACUCAUCAAAUAUAGGGUGGUCUGGUUCUGAUCCAUGUAAGUGGUUGCACGUCUCAUGCAACGGCAACAACCAGGUGAUAGCAGUCCAAAUCGGCCAUCAGAACCUGGGGGGCACUCUUCCAACAGAGCUCAAAAAUCUGACGGCUUUAGUACGAUUUGAGGUAAUGGGCAACCAUUUAACGGGUUCAGUACCGAGCCUUUCUGGGUUAAGCUCGCUUGAAGUUGUAUAUUUAAAUGAUAAUGAUUUCACUUCAUUUCCUUCGGAUUUCUUUGAGGGGAUGACGUCGUUAACCUCCGUGAGUUUGGAUUAUAACCCUUUUCAACCUUGGGAGAUUCCUUUAAGUCUUAAAAGUGCAACGGCAUUGAAGGAUUUCUCUGCUAAUGGGGCAAAUAUAACUGGCACAAUCCCUGAUUUUUUCAACAAUGAUGUGUUUCCUGGACUGGAAAGUCUGCAUUUGGCAAUGAAUUCUUUUGAGGGUGGACUGCCAGUGGAUUUCUCACGGGCGGCUUCAAUUACUUCCCUCUGGCUUAAUGACCAGAAGAGUAAUUCAGGGCUUAAUGGAACAAUUGCUGUGUUACAGAACAUGACUGGCUUGACUGAGAUUUGGUUACAUGGGAAUGAUUUAACUGGUCCAUUGCCAGAAUUUACGGGUUUAGUUGGCCUACAGAAGUUGAGUUUGAGAGAUAAUCAAUUCACAGGUAUUGUUCCACAAUCACUGUUAAACCUGUCCUCUCUUUCUGUUGUCAAUUUGACUAACAAUCUGCUUCAGGGUCCAACACCUGAAUUUCCUAACGGAAUUAGAAUAGAUAUGAACUCUGGGUCUAAUAGAUUUUGCACGCCUAAUCCUGGUGUUGCUUGUAACCAUAGUGUGGAUAUUCUGUUAUUAAUCGUGAAAGACUUUGGAUACCCUGCUAGUUUAGCUGAUAGCUGGGAAGGAAAUGACCCUUGUGCGCAGUGGAAAGGUAUUUCAUGUUCACCUGAAGGGAACAUUACGGUUAUCAACUUCCAGAAUAUGGGCCUUACUGGUACAAUUUCUCCAAGUUUUUCACUGAUUCCUUCAUUGCAAAAAUUGAUUUUGGCAGAUAAUUUGCUUUCUGGUACUAUACCAACUGAGCUUACAACUCUGCCUAGUCUCACUUUAUUAAACGUUGAAAACAAUAGGCUGUACGGUAAGGUACCUACUUUCAGGCUAGCGGAAGUGAUCACUAUUGGAAACCCUGAUAUUGGGAAGGAUAACAGUAGCUUCUAUCCCCCUGGUACACCUCCUGGGACACCCAGCACGCCUGGCAAAGAUGGAGGAGGUAGUGGUUCUGAUGCAAGUGGUGGUAAGAAUUCUAGUAUGGGAAAGAUUGUGGGUUCUGUAAUUGGUGCUGUUUGUGGAUUAUGUGUCGUUGGGUUGGGUGUGUUUUUCUAUAGUAGGAAACAGAAACAGUACAGUAAGGUACAAAGUCCAAAUAUGAUGGUUAUUCAUCCUCGCCAUUCUGGAGAUGAGGAUGCUGUGAAAAUUACUGUUGCCGAAUCAAGCUCUAAUGGUAGGGCUGAGAGCUUCACUGAUAGUAGUGGACCUAGUGACAUUCAUGUAGUUGAUACUGGGAAUAUGGUGAUUUCAAUUCAAGUUUUGAGAAAUGUGACUAAUAAUUUCAGCGAGGAGAACAUACUAGGAAACGGUGGUUUUGGGACUGUUUACAAGGGAGAAUUGCAUGAUGGGACAAAAAUUGCAGUAAAGAGAAUGGAAUCAGGAGUGAUGACUGAAAAGGGUCUGGCAGAGUUUAGGUCUGAGAUUGCAGUACUCACUAAGGUCCGACAUCGUCACUUAGUUGCACUUCUUGGAUAUUGCUUGGAUGGAAAUGAGAGACUUCUUGUUUAUGAAUAUAUGCCUCAGGGGACACUUAGUAGAUAUCUCUUUAAUUGGGAGGUACAUGGGUUAAAACCACUUGAAUGGACUAGAAGAUUGACCAUAGCCUUGGAUGUUGCUAGGGGUGUUGAAUAUCUGCAUGGACUAGCACAUCAAAGUUUUAUUCACAGGGAUCUGAAGCCUUCCAACAUUCUUCUUGGAGAUGAUAUGCGGGCCAAAGUUGCAGAUUUUGGACUGGUUCGUCUUGCUCCGGAAGGGAAAACCUCAAUUGAAACAAGACUAGCUGGAACUUUUGGAUACCUUGCACCAGAAUAUGCAGUGACUGGACGAGUGACUACCAAGGUUGAUGUGUUUAGCUUUGGUGUUAUCCUAAUGGAGAUGAUCACAGGAAGAAAAGCGCUUGAUGAGACCCAGCCUGAGGAUAGCGUGCACCUUGUUACUUGGUUUCGUAGGAUGCACAUCAACAAGGACACAUUCCAUAAGAUUAUUGACCCAACUAUUGAUCUUGAUGAGGGAACUCUUGCCAGCAUUAGCACGGUUGCUGAGCUAGCAGGCCACUGUACUGCUAGGGAGCCCUACCAGAGGCCUGACAUGGGUCAUGUGGUUAAUGUUCUUUCAUCACUUGUUGAGCUAUGGAAACCGUCAGAACCAGAUCCUGAUGACGUGUAUGGGAUUGACCUUGAAAUGACCUUGCCUGACGCACUCAAGAAGUGGCAGGCAUCUGAGGAAAGCAAUUUGGAUUCAUUUGCUACUAGUGGGGAUAAUACCCAAACCAGUAUACCCACUCGACCAUCUGGCUUUGCAGAAUCAUUUACAUCAGAAGAUGGACGGUAAAUGAAGAAAAGAAAAGUUGGAGAUAUGAUGAAAUGCUCCUAAUCAGAUUGUUGUAUUCCUUCUGCUUGUUCUUGUAAGUGUUUUAGGUGGAGGGUGUGAUGCAAAUGGGACUGAGACGCAAGAGACAGGUCAUCCUUUUAUCAUUGAAUAGCUGAUAAAAACAAUGUCGUUUUUGUGACAUAAGUGAAUGCCACGUGUCAGUCCUAGAGUGGCUGUAUGAUAUGCAUGCCAGCUGCAAGUAUUUAUUGCCUACCACAUUAAAUAUUCUGUAAUGGAAGGCGGUGACUACUGACUACGUUGUUUGAUGUCUUAAUCGUAGUGGUGAUCAUUCUAGAGUCCGUGGUUCUAUAAAUUAUAUUUAUAAAUACAUAUAAUUAACAUUGUUGACUUAGCAUGUCAA